GGACGAACGCUGGCGGCGUGCUUAACACAUGCAAGUCGAACGGUGAAGGGACUGGUUUUGCUGGUCCUGGAUGAGUGGCGAACGGGUGAGUAACACGUGAGUAACCUGCCCCCUUCUUCUGGAUAACCGCAUGAAAGUGUGGCUAAUACGGGAUAUUCUGGGUCUGUCGCAUGGUGGGCCUGGGAAAGAUUGCGCCUUUUUUGGUGUUUUUGGUGGGGGAUGGGCUCGCGGCCUCUCAGCUUGUUGGUGGGGUGAUGGCCUACCAAGGCGGUGACGGGUAGCCGGCCUGAGAGGGUGGACGGUCACACUGGGACUGAGACACGGCCCAGACUCCUACGGGAGGCAGCAGUGGGGAAUAUUGCACAAUGGGCGCAAGCCUGAUGCAGCGACGCCGCGUGAGGGAUGGAGGCCUUCGGGUUGUGAACCUCUUUCGCCAGUGAAGCAGGCCUGCCUCUUUUUGUGGGUGGGUUGACGGUAGCUGGAUAAGAAGCGCCGGCUAACUACGUG
rnacentral:rRNA from 1 species